UACGUAGGGUGCAAGCGUUGUCCGGAAUUAUUGGGCGUAAAGAGCUUGUAGGCGGUUUGUCGCGUCUGCUGUGAAAUUUCGGGGCUCAACCCCGAACUUGCAGUGGGUACGGGCAGACUAGAGUGUGGUAGGGGAGACUGGAAUUCCUGGUGUAGCGGUGAAAUGCGUAGAUAUCUGGAGGAACACCGGUGGCGAAGGCGGCGUCCUGGACCAACACUGACACUGAAAAGCGAAAGCCAGGGGAGCAAACGGG
rnacentral:rRNA from 1 species